CAACACCUUUAAGCUAUCUUUAAGGAGGACUUAAAAAUGGUCAUUCAUUUUGUGACAAGUCAUUAAAAUGCUAAAAAAUGAAGUAAUUUCCAAUUGUUAUGGGUACGAACGCAUUAAAUUACAUUAAAAUUACCUCUGCGUGCAACUUUGUAGUCAAAUAAGUCCAAUAACAUAAAGUAUAAACAACUGACCGAUUGCAAUGCACUUGUCGAUGUGACAUCAUACUGUGAAUUAAAGAUCGUCUUUAAGCUACCUUUAAACACCUUUAAGCUAUCUUUAAGGAGGACUUAAAGAUGGUCAUUCAUCCUGUGACAAGUCAUUAAAAUGCUAAAAAAUGAAUUAAUUUCCAAUUGUAAUGGGUACGAACGCAUUAAAUUACAUUAAAAUUACCUCUGCGUGCAACUUUGUAGUCAAAUAAGUCCUAUAACAUAAAGUAUAAACAAUUGACCGAUUGCAAUGCACUUGUCGAUGUGACAUCAUACUGUAAAUUAUGAUGCAUUUUAUGUGUAGAGAGAGGCAAGUCAAUCAAUUUUUUAACAUGGAAAAUGCAUUUUAUAAAUGAACAGAGCAUAAUCUGAAACAAGUUUUAUAUCAUUAAAUCCUAUUUUUGAUGCUAGUUUUAAUCAAGCACGUAUUUAUUUUUUAGAACGUGUAUUAUUUCUUUUCUGGGAUUUUUAAUGUACAAUGUGUAAUAUUUCUUUUCUGGAGUGUUUCAUGUACAAGUUCAAUGUGUUUGACAUCGGGAAGCUUAUCCAAAUCCGCUUUUUACAAGGACAUACACUUAACAGAUUAUUACGAUCUUUUAGGUAUAAAUUAAGGGAAUGUUUAAAUUAUCAAAAGGCGCUGCUGUGUCGAUGAAAUCUAUUGAAUGAAUUAAUAGAUAGUAAAAUAUCAAAUCAUAUCAAUUUCAAAGCAGCAGCAUUUUAGGAAUCUACUAGAGUUGUAGAAUUAAAUUUUCAUUUAAAAUUUUUAAUUCAAAUGAGAGUAUGCUCUUGGUAUAUUGAAAUUUGUUUAUGACCUCCAUACGGGAGAAUAAUCAACACAUAUCACGUGGGACCACACUAAGUGUCAUUUACUAUGCUGUUUCAUUUAAUGUCAAUUUCAUAUCAUGAUUAGAUAACUUUUCAUAAACAUUUUGUAAAAAUAGAUGCAUCGUUUUAUGAACGUUUAUAUCCGUUGAUAUUUUUAUAGUAAGCCUUAACAGUACUGCGUAACAUUAAUAUUUUUAAACUUUGUUAGUUGGUGUAUUUUUCAAUACCGUUAUUUCUUAACUGAAAUGAAGACCAAUUUUUCUACUGUUUUGUCAAUGUCAUUGUCAUUGUUAUAUUUGAUACGUUGAGGACUAGGAUGAUAUCACUGGCAUUACAGAUCAUAAGAUAUGAUGUCUAAUACCGAGGUUUAAAUUAUUCUCUUUUUACUUAUUGUUUUUAAUGUAAGUAUACCUAGAAGAGAAUGUAUGCAAUUUUGAGAAGCGUUACACUAUUCUAAAACUUGAUUUUAAAGAAUUUUGAAAGAGAUACUGGAGUGUUGAUCAGGUGAGUGAUGUGGCCCAUAGACGUCUUGAUUUCAUAUUAUAUAUAUUACUCGAUUAACAUGUUAGUGCACAUAUUCUAGUCUAAUAUCUAUGAAAACAAUACCCCUCAUUAAAUUCAAAAUUCAACCAGAAUCCCCAAAAAUCCAGUCAGACUUCACAUUUAAUUUGAUUACGUCACUAACAAAGCUCAUAUCCCGAGAAACUUUUAAAAAAGUUGUUUAAUUAAAGUGCAAUAUCGAGAACUGUUGAAUUUAUUUCAAUUUAAUUUUCAACUUCUCUCGUGUAGAAGUUUCAAUAAGGCUGUUUUACCCUUAAAUUAUUAAAAUUCAUAUGUCACAUGUGAAGAUUGAUGCGUUUUUUAAAAUGCUGUCUAUCUGAUGUGUAACGUUUUACAACUGUUGAAUUCAUUCCAAUUAAAUUUUCAGGUUUUUCGUGUAGGAAUAUCAAUAAGGCCGUUUUACCUCUAAGAUGUUAAAAUAAUUUAAUAUGUUAUAAGCGAUGAUUGAUGCUUUUUUAUGUUAAUAUCAUUGUGACGUUGACAACAUCAUUAAACGAUUUAAAAUAGUUUUAAACCCAUCGUGUAGCAAGCUACAAUCAGAAUUAAAUUUUUUCCGAAUAACGAAGUAUUUCUGUGCUCUUCUUAUGUAACAUUUUUACGUCUAUACCAUAUUAUUAUGAAAUUACGAAAUUAAAUAUUCUUCUUUGUACAUUUUUCAUUACAGAGUCAUUUGUUACACGAAAUUUAAAAGUAUCAAUGUAGUACGAUGUGCAUUUUUAGCGCUGCUUUUGUAAUUUGUUUACAUUUUUCAAAAGAAUUCUGACAUUUAAACUUUUGAAAACGUGUUUAGAAAUAUAGAUACAGUACACAAAUAGUUAUACAUGAAUCAAAUUAUUGAAAAUUAAGCCAUUUUCUAGCAUUGUUAAGAUUACAUGCAGCAAAAGAAAGAAAAUGAUCACAUUGCACGAUUUUGACAGCCAUUGGCGUUUAAAGUGGAAGACUACAUCGUUUCAACAUGUCUAACAUCCGUUUGAAACGCCAUUUUGUUACGAAUUGAUAACAUAAUGUCGUGGUAGAAAAUUUCUAUACACCGUUUAAUUGAACUUUUUUAACGAGGGAGAUGAGAUAUGAAGGAAAUCACCAAAACGCGUAGAAUAUAUGUUAAUUAUCUUUGUGGUUUGAGCUUUGAAUUAACAUUGAUUGUCAGCUGUUUUGUACGGAAAACGUGAAAUUUAAAUAUGUUUCCCCGCUAUUGGCAAUACAUUUUUGUUAUGUCAUCUGCAACAGACGAUCAGACAUAUGUGAUACAUAUCGAUACAGGUAAGCAGGUAUUAUAUUUUCACUUAAUCUAUAUAUGUAUGAUGAACAUAAAACUAAAGUACUGUAGUACAAUCUCUUGAAUUGAUCUUAACUUCCCCAUUGUAAAAAUUUUGUAAAAGACUUGCAUUGAAAAUCUAACAUUAAACUUAUGUAUUUUAUUUAAGAUAGACAUAGCUAGGGAGCAAUAGCAGUGGAAGCCCGGAUUGGCAAGCCAAACGAGGGAACGACAGAAUUCUGAAAAAAAUGAUUACCACACGUACAGGUGCAUCAAUAUGGACAUCUGAAUAAAUAUUUGUGGGGGAUUUCAUCCAGCAGUUUGCCUUAAAAGAAUUUUUUCAUAUUUUAUUUCCAUAUUUAUGUGAAUUCCAAUAAAAUCUUACAAACUUCA